rnacentral:rRNA from 1 species
AACCCGCCUGCAUGAAGUCGGAAUUGCUAGUAAUCGCGGAUCAGCAUGCCGCGGUGAAUACGUUCCCGGGCCUUGUACACACCACCCGUCACACCAUGGGAGCCGGUAAUACCCGAAGUCAGUAGUCCAACCUCGUGAGGACGCUGCCGAAGGUAGGAUUGGCGACUGGGGUGAAGUCGUAACAAGGUACC